rnacentral:rRNA from 1 species
GUGGGGAAUAUUGGGCAAUGGGGGAAACCCUGACCCAGCAACGCCGCGUGAGGGAAGAAGGUUUUCGGAUUGUAAACCUCUGUCCUUGGUGAAGAAGAAAGUGACGGUAGCCAAGGAGGAAGCCCCGGCUAACUACGUGCCAGCAGCCGCGGUAAUACGUAGGGGGCGAGCGUUGUCCGGAAUGACUGGGCGUAAAGGGCGUGUAGGCGGCCGAUUAAGUCCGGAGUGAAAGUCCUGCUUUCAAGGUGGGAAUUGCUUUGGAAACUGGUUGGCUUGAGUGCGGAAGAGGUAAGUGGAAUUCCCAGUGUAGCGGUGAAAUGCGUAGAGAUUGGGAGGAACACCAGUGGCGAAGGCGACUUACUGGGCCGUAACUGACGCUGAGGCGCGAAAGCGUGGGGAGCGAACAGGAUUAGAAACCCCUGUAGUCC